GGGAGGGAGUGACUAGUGACAGAGUGAGGGAGGGGGUGACACAGUGACAGAGUUAGGGAGGGAGUGACUAGUGACAGAGAGAGGGAUGGGGUGACUAGUGACAGUCACCCCCUCCCUCUGUCACCAGUCACCCCCUCCCUCUGUCACCAGUCACCCCCUCACUCUGUCACCAGUCAUCCCCUCACUCUGUCACCAGUCACCCCUUCCCUCCCUCACUCUGCCACCAGUCACCCCUUCCCUCCC
rnacentral:sRNA from 1 species